CCCCUUCCUUAGACCUCGCCCCUUCGCAUAGGCCCCCGUCAUCCCGUCUACUCCCCGGGCCCUCGCCCCGCCCCUCCCGGCGCACUCACAUACAGGGUUUCACUAUGUAGCCAAGGCUAGUCUUGAAUUCGUGAGCUCAAGUGAAUCACCGGCCUUGGCCUCUCAAGUCUAGGAUUACAGAAGAGGAAACUGAGGUUCACAAUCGGGCAGUGAAAAGCCAAAAGUAAAACCUAGGCUUUCUACAACUCUGCCUGCUCCAACAAAAG
rnacentral:sRNA from 1 species